rnacentral:rRNA from 1 species
AUACGUAGGGGGCGAGCGUUGUCCGGAAUUACUGGGCGUAAAGGGUGCGUAGGUGGCCUUUUAAGUUGGAUGUGAAAUACCCGAGCUUAACUUGGGGGGUGCAUCUAAUACUGGGAGGCUAGAGUGCAGGAGAGGGAAGCGGAAUUCCUAGUGUAGCGGUGAAAUGCGUAGAUAUUAGGAGGAACACCAGUGGCGAAGGCGGCUUUCUGGACUGUAACUGACACUGAGGCACGAAAGCGUGGGGAGC